rnacentral:lncRNA from 1 species
GAAAGAAAAGGAAAAAGAUUGCCCAUCCCUUGUUUCAUGAUUUAAUCUCUCUUGUUUGUCGUCAUCUUUUGCCCUAAUCCCCCAAUCCCUACCACUCACUUUGCCCUUGAUCCACAACCACUCCCCCCCUUCUCUCUAACUGCCACCGUCCUAAUUCUAUUCUUUUCCAUCAUUAGCUCACCUCCUAAAUUCCUUCUCCUCCUUCAAAAGCCUAACUACUACUAUGGUCGUUGGAUAUCUUGCUUUGCCACCUCACCGAAUGUCGUCAUACCCCAUCUCUCUAGUUUCUCAACCCAUGCCUCAUAGAUAGAACCAUCGCUAGCAUUGUGAUUGGUCUCGGCCACUCGAUUGAUGCUGAACAUUCAGAUCCGCUCUUUUCCACUGAUCCACCAUGAUCUGCUCCUCUUUGCUAUUAUCCACU